rnacentral:rRNA from 1 species
CCGCACGAGCGCACCCCUAUCCUUAGUUGCUAGCAGGGUAAUACUGAGAACUCUAAGGAGACUGCCGGUGAUAAACCGGAGGAAGGUGGGGACGACGUCAGGUCAUCAUGGCCCUUACGUGUAGGGCUACACACGUGCUACAAUGGCGCAUACAGAGUGCUGCGAACUCGCGAGAGUAAGCGAAUCACUUAAAGUGCAUCGUAGUCCGGAUUGGAGUCUGCAACUCGACUCCAUGAAGUCGGAAUCGCUAGUAAUCGCAUAUCAGAAUGAUGCGGUGAAUACGUUCCCGGGCCUUGUACACACCGCCCGUCACACCAUGGGAGUGGGUUGCUCCAGAAGUAGAUAGUCUAACCCUCGGGAGGACGUUUACCACGGANUGAUUCAUGACUGGGGUGAAGUCNUAACAAGGUACNCCCUAGGGGGNGGGGGGGGCUGGAUCACCUCCUUAUACGAUUUAG